UACCCAAUGAUAUCCCACGAAGGCAUCCGAAUGGGAUUAAAGNUUUAUCGGUGAUGGAUGGGGAUGCGUCUGAUUAGCUGUUGGCGGGUAACGGCCACCAAGGCAACGAUCAGUAGGGGUUCUGAGAGGAAGGUCCCCCACAUUGGAACUGAGACACGGUCCAAACUCCUACGGGAGGCAGCAGUGAGGAAUAUUGGUCAAUGGGCGAGAGCCUGAACCAGCCAAGUAGCGUGCAGGACGACGGCCCUAUGGGUUGUAAACUGCUUUUAUAAGGGAAUAAAGUGAGUCUCGUGAGGCUUUUUGCAUGUACCUUAUGAAUAAGGACCGGCUAAUUCCGUG
rnacentral:rRNA from 1 species